rnacentral:rRNA from 1 species
UACGGAGGGGGCGAGCGUUAUUCGGAAUCAUUGGGCGUAAAGGGCGCGUAGGCGGCCUAGCAAGUCAGGGGUGAAAUCCCUCGGCUCAACCGGGGAACUGCCUCUGAAACUGCUUGGCUAGAGACCGGGAGAGGGUAGUGGAAUUCCCAGUGUAGCGGUGAAAUGCGUAGAUAUUGGGAGGAACACCAGUGGCGAAGGCGGCUUUCUGGACUGAGACUGACACUGAGGCACGAAAGCGUGGGGAGCAAACAGG